AUGUGUGAUUCUCAGGCCAGUGAAUGGGCAGCCAAGUACAUCAGGAACCGCAUCAUUCAGUUUAACCCAGGGCCAGACAAGUACUUCACCUUGGGGCUCCCUACAGGGAGCACCCCACUUAGCUGCUACCAGAAUGGGGACCUGUCCUUUAAAUAUGUGAAAACCUUCAACAUGGACGAAUAUGUAGGCCUUCCUUGAGGGCACCCAGAACGUUACCACUCCUCCAUGUGGAAUAAUUUCUUCAAGCACAUUGACAUCCACCCGAAAACACCCACAUUCUGUGAUGCCUGUGAGGAGAAGAUUCAGGCUGCAGGUGGGACUGAGCUCUUUGUUGGAGGCAUUGGGCCUGAUGGGCACAUUGCCUUCAAUGAGCCAGGCUCCAGUCUGGUGUCCAGGACCCGUGUGAAGACACUGGCCAUGGACACCAUCCUGGCCAAUGCUAGGUUCUUUGAUGGUGAUCUCACCAAGGUGCCCAUCAUGGCCCUGACAGUUGGUGUGGGUACUGUCAUAGAUGCCAGAGAGGUAAUGAUCCUCGUCACCGGAGCUCACAAGGCCUUUGCUCUGUACAAGGCCAUAGAGGAGGGAAUGAACCAUAUGUGGACUGUGUCUGCCUCCCAGCAGCAUCCCCUCACUGUGUGUGUGACAAGGAUGCCACCUUGGAGCCGAAAGUGAAGACUGUCAAGUAUUUUAAAGCUUUAACGCUUGUUCAUAACACGUUGGUGGACCCUGUACAGUAUCAGGAGAAGGAAGUCCAGAAAAGCCAGUCUGCUAAGAAACCAUGCAGCCUGUGCUGGGACCUGCUAGCGGGUACCUCAGAGGCACAGGCAGAUCUUUCUGCUAACUGUCUAGGAGAGUAG